CCGUCACACCAUGGGAGUUGGUUUUACCUGAAGACGGUGCGCUAACCCGCAAGGGAGGCAGCCGGCCACGGUAGGGUCAGCGACUGGGGUGAAGUCGUAACAAGGUAGCCGUAGGGGAACCUGCGGCUGGAUCACCUCCUUUCUAAGGAUGAUCCUUCAGCGAGCUCACGCUCACUAUCGGAUCGUUUUAGAAACAUCAGUGGCCAACAGAUCGCCAGAUCGUUGAGCUGCAUUGGCGGGAUUUCGCCGUCUUCGUUUCUCUUUCUUCGCGGACGAACACGCGCUGGGCCUGCAUCAAGCAGGAUCCCACGGUCCCUGACGGGAUAUGCGUUAGGGGCUUGUAGCUCAGUUGGUUAGAGCGCGCGCUUGAUAAGCGUGAGGUCGGAAGUUCAAGUCUUCCCAGGCCCACCACUUUCAUCGAGUGAGCAUUCGUCUUCUGGUUACGGGGCCAUAGCUCAGCUGGGAGAGCGCGUGCUUUGCAAGCAUGAGGUCGUCGGUUCGAUCCCGUCUGGCUCCACCAGAUGGUUUGAUCACCGAGAUCUUGCACCGUCGUCCGCGAAACAUCACUUCGCAUCCUGCUAGUCUGGAUAGACAGCAAGAUGCGUGUUUUCUGACAUCGUAAAGAGGAGAUCGAUCCGAGUUGGGUCGUGCAGCAGAUUGUUGCGCGAAUCCUUCAUUAUCUCCGGAUCAUUUUCGGCGCUCGCUUUCAGCCGUGAGGUUGAAUGCGAGUUGUAAAAUGAUCCUUUUAGCGAAGCUUGACCGCCUCGCUAUCGGAACGAUCUUACGAAGCAAGCUGGUCUUUCUAGUCAAUGUCCGGCUGCACGUAGCAUUCAUCGAGGGUGCGCGCCGUAAGGCAAUCGUGCAGACAACAUUCUGCCGAGUGUGUGGACAUUGAUAAUGAGAGCAUCAAGUCACACCGCCCGUCACACCAUGGGAGUUGGUUUUACUUGAAGACGGUGCGCUAACCCGCAAGGGAGGCAGCCGGCCACGGUAGGGUCAGCGACUGGGGUGAAGUCGUAACAAGGUAGCCGUAGGGGAACCUGCGGCUGGAUCACCUCCUUUCUAAGGAUGAUCCUUCAGCGAGCCUCAAGCUCACUAUCGGAUCGUUUUAGAAACAUCAGUGGCCAACAGAUCGCCAGAUCGUUGAGCUGCAUUGGCGGGAUUUCGCCGUCUUCGUUUCUCUUUCUUCGCGGACGAACACGCGCUGGGUCUGCUUGAGCAGAACCAUGGUCCUUGACGGGAUAUGCGUUAGGGGCUUGUAGCUCAGUUGGUUAGAGCGCGCGCUUGAUAAGCGUGAGGUCGGAAGUUCAAGUCUUCCCAGGCCCACCACUUUCAUCGAGUGAGCAUUCGUCUUCUGGUUACGGGGCCAUAGCUCAGCUGGGAGAGCGCGUGCUUUGCAAGCAUGAGGUCGUCGGUUCGAUCCCGUCUGGCUCCACCAGAUGGUUUGAUCACCGAGAUCUUGUACCGUCGUCCGCGAAACAUCACUUCGCAUCCUGCUAGUCUGGAUAGACAGCAAGAUGCGUGUUUUCUGACAUCGUAAAGAGGAGAUCGAUCCGAGUUGGGUCGUGCAGCAAAUUGUUGCGCGAGCCUUCAUUAUCUCCGGAUCAUUUUCGGCGCUCGCGUCCGACCGCAAGGUUGGCUGCGAGUUGUAAAAUGAUCCUUUUAGCGAAGCUUGACCGCCUCGCUAUCGGAACGAUCUUACGAAGCAAGCUGGUCUUUCUAGUCAAUGUCCGGCUGCACAUAGCGUUCAUCGAGGGCGCGUGCCGUAAGGCAAUUGUGCAGACAACAUUCUGCCGAGUGUGUGGACAUUGAUAAUGAGAGCAAUCAAGUGCCUUAAGGGUGUUCGGUGGAUGCCUUGGCGCUGAGAGGCGAUGAAGGACGUGCUACGCUGCGAUAAGCCGUGGGGAGCUGC
rnacentral:misc_RNA from 1 species